rnacentral:rRNA from 1 species
CCCUUAGAUGUUCUGGGCCGCACGCGCGCUACACUGACGGAGGCAGCGAGCGUGUCCUUCGCCGACAGGUGCGGGCAAUCUUGCGAGUCUCCGUCGUGCUGGGGAUAGAUGGUUGCAAUUGUCGAUCUUGAACGAGGAAUUCCUAGUAAGCGCGAGUCAUCAGCUCGCGCUGAUUACGUCCCUGCCCUUUGUACACACCGCCCGUCGCUACUACAGAGUGCCCGUGUCCAAGAAACGGUCGGACCUGUGCGGCCUCUCCGGGCGACCGGAGGGCCGUUACGGGGAAGACCCUUUAUUUGACGCGGGUCGAUGAAGUAAAAGUCGUAACA